rnacentral:lncRNA from 1 species
GUGAAUUCCGGCUGUGAAUCCGGCCUCCUCCUCUCACAAGGCGCUGAGGGAGCCUCUUUGGGACCCAUAACUCUAACUCCUUAUCUCCGGGGCCUCAGUCCCCUCAGGCAUUUUCACCGCUCUUCUUCCCCGAGAACACCUCCUCCUGGGGCGCGAGGUGCGCUAGUACCGGGUCAGGUGCUCCUGAUCAUCACCCACAGUCCAGGCCACUUCUACUACCGGUGGCGACAGCCGUGGUGGCGGCGGGGCGCACACAGUCAGCACCCUCUUCCUGCUCUGAGCCCAGCUGGGACACUUAUUCCACCUCCACACCCUCGCCCCAGCUGAGCGCCCAUUUUCUCAGCCAGGAUGCGGCCAUGCCCUUUCCCUCUGAGCACCAGCUGGUGACACAGUGCAGAAGCGGAGCCCCGGGGAGCCUGCAAAGGCGCGCUGGGUGUUCCUGUGCGCCGCAGCGCUUUCCCCAGUGCUGUCCCCGGAACCCGAAGCGCACGUGUGGGAGCAGCUCCCUAAGCCACACGCACACCCCAAGUUCUUGGCGCCGCUGCCUGGCCGGACUGGGGGUGCGCUGUGGGGAUGGAGACGUGGAGCAGCGCGGGGCGUAACACCGAGAGGGGCGGGUCCUACCCGCAGUGCUUUUCCAGGGCGCAGCUUCCCAAGCGCUGGAAGGAAGAGGCAGAAGUCACUACUCUCCGGAGUUUAUAUGGCAAACGAGGGUGAAAACGCUGCCUGCUGUCUGGGGGCAAUCGUGCUGGAAGUGGGGAGAGGUUACCCAGAAGUAUAAAAGUGGAAAAUUCAUUGCACUGUGUCCUUCUUUAUCUACUUUGACAGUUUUUGAGUUAAGGUACGUUUAUAUAAGUAUAGCCACCCCUGCCCCCUCUUGGUUUCCGUGUACUUGGAACGUUUUUUCCACUCCCUACACUUUUAGUCUACACAUGCCCCUACAGGUGAUGUGAGUUCCUUGUAGGCAUCAUAUAUUUGAGUCUUGGUUUUGUUUUGAUUCAUUCAUUGACUCUACCAUCUUUUAACUGGAAAUUUCAGUCUGCCUGUUUAUAUUUAAGGCAAUCAGUGUAAUAAGUAAGGACUUGCUAGUGGCAUUUUGAUGCUUGUAUUCUAGUUUUCUUGAUUGUUUCCUCCUUUCUUACUGUCUUCUUUUGUAGUUAAGGGAUUUUUUAGUUGUAUGUUUUGAUUCCUUGCUCUUUAUUUUUAGUGUAUCCAUUAUAAGUUUUUGCUUUGUGAUUACCACGGGGCUUGCAAACUACAUCUUAUAAAUACAAGUUAUUCUAAACAGAUAUUUUUGACUACAAACAAAAGAAAAAAAAUCAACAACUUAGGUUCACCCAUACACUCACACUUUGAAUUUUUAUGCCACAAUUCCCAUCUUUUUAUAUCACCUAGCCUUUAAAAAUUUCUCAUAGUUACAAUCUUUUUAAAUAGUUCUUUUAGCCUUCAUGUUAAGGCUAUAAGUGGAUUACAUUCUAUGGUUAUCACAUUGGAGUAUUCUGAAUUUAUUUGUGUACUUAUCUUUACUAGUGUAUUUUAUACCUUCUGCUCUUUGCUUUUUAUAUGUUAAAGAACUAUUCUAGCAUCUUUUGCAGGCCAGAUCUUGUGAUAAAUUCCCCACUUAAUUUCUGAAAGACAGCCUUCUUGGUUGGCAGUUUUUGAUCUUCAGCACUCUGAAUAUAUCAUCCACUGUCUUCUCAGUCUCCACUGGGAGGUAUGGUGUAAAGUGCACUGGGCAAACUGUAUGUAUUAUUUGCAUUUUUUUCCCCUACUGUUGCCUUG